CUGUUGCUGGCUGAAGUCCCUGGCUCUUCCCUCAAGCCCUGACCCUUUUGGUUGCAGCACACAUUUGUAAGUGGUGUCCUUGGCCACCCUGUGGCUCUACAGCUGCUUCCCAACUGGCGUGCUCUCUCAGACUGUUUCUAGGCUGGCUCCUUUCCCCAGCCCCAUGGAGAUGGCUCUUCCUGGCUCUGCUGUCCUAGGACUGACUAAAAUGUCACUGGCCCAGUCCUUGCCUUGUAGGUCACACUAAGGAGGAGGAGUGAUGCCAGUUCUUUCUUAGAAGUUUUCAAAGCAGCAUUCUUCAUCUUUCUUUCUUUCUGCCUGUGGAUAUGAAAGGAGCUUCUCAGAAAUGUCUGCAGUAUGUCAUCGUCUACCUUCGAAACUCUUCCGCACCAAAAUACCUAUGAAACCUGUGACAAGCAUUUAAGCUGUAGUCUGGAAUUACCUUAUAGAUAAGUAAACCUGACAGCUAGCUGUUACCAAAAGCCAUGUUUUUCCUUCUGUCCCCUCAACAGUCAUGGCCACGUGUUCCCACGCAGUCUCCUGUGCCACCGCUUUUACUCAUGUGAUCCUGUAGUGAGAUGUUUAAAGAAGCUAAAUUAGCAGAAAAACAACUGCUUUUCUAUAAAAGCAGAUUUCUGCCCGUUAAGUUGCACAAAUUGGGAGGAGAUGAGUUUUGAUGUCAAAGCAAGGGAAGACAAUUACUGGGGCACAGGAGUGGCGCAGCGUUACCCUUCUCUGUCAGCAGUUAGCUUUCAGAUCAGCUUGGCCAUGAUCGCACCUCUGAGCAGUGAGUCCUGAGAAUACUGCUUAUCACAUUGAUCUGUGUUGUCUUGCUGUCUCCCUGGGCUCUUGUGUCUGUAACCACCUUAUUUCCUUUGUUUUCUAUUUUGGUUGUAAGGUUUUUUCAGGGGCUGCCUCUCUGUACUGCAUUUGUAAACCACAACUUUUGCAACUUUGAAAGUUUUUGCUGUGACGUUUACCACACCUUAUUUUCCUUCCUAACAGAUGUCAAAUAUUAUUAUUUCUUGUUCAGGGAGGAUGACACUGCCUCCACACAGCUGUUUGCCGAUGUCCUUGUGAAAAGACUUGGUCUUAUAACGUCUCCUCUGCAUAACAUAAAUAAAGUCAAUAUUGGAAAUAA